GGGAACAAACAGUUCCGGGGACGGGGACGUCACUCGGCAGCAGCUCCGCACUGCCAUUGGUCAGCGGGAGCGAUGACGCCAUUAGGGGGAGGGACGCGAAGCGGGGAGCGUCCAUUGCGCGGCUCAAAGCGGGGGAGUCUCCUCUCCCCCCCGGUGCCCGGAGCGUUGGUGCGGCCCGGCGCGCGGGGCCGGUGGGCGUGAGGGGAGAGCGGCUCGGGGAGUGUGAGGACGGCUUCAGUUACAGCCGCGGCACCAUAAAAAACAAAGCAGAAAAUUAGUGACUUCGUCCAGGGGUUGAGGACAUCCUGUAGAAAUAGAGGCUGUGUAUUCCACCCUGAGAGAAUUCUCUGGCAGCGGGCGGUCUGGAGUCACCCACUGCAGAGGACAAGGGCUGCUGUGGCUGUACGAGCGGUGAAACACAGGGGCAAAAUGAAGAGCAAACUUUGCAUAGUCUACAGUACCCACACUGCACAUUCAACCCCAAGAGACCAACUGGCUAAACCCUUUCAAGACUGCAAAAUGGAAUUUAUGCCAUUUCUGAUUGAAGCUUAAGAAAUAAAUAAGAGGCAUAAAAAUAUGAGCUGGAAAAAUCUGGUUGAAUCUCUAUGGACCUUGCUGUAUAUCUAUAUAUAGAAUAGAAUCACAGAAUGGUUUAGGUAGGAAAGGACCUUCAAAAGCUUGUUUUUUUCCACCCCCUGCCACAGCCUGGGAUACCUGCUACAGUUUGCUCCUGGCCUUCAACAUUCCAGAAUCUACGUGGUUUCCACAGCACAAGAGCAGCACUGUAAUUACUACAGUUCUCACGUUACGGAACAGCAUCAUCCUUUUAAGUCUAGAUGGCAGCCUUGAAUACCAACUUAUGAAAACUAAGGUUACAAAGAAUCAGGCUUCCUCCAAAGCUUCAUUUUCAAGUUUAUAGCUUGAAGAGUUUCACUGGUACAAAGGUAAUUCUGUGUAGCCUCCUUGUGCUCCAUGCAGAGGCUGACCUUUGACACGGACGUCACUGUAUCUCUGGAAGUGGUGGUACGCAGCUUUCCAGGGGUUGCGGUAAUGACGGAGCAGCGUGAUCGGCGGCCUGGGACGCACAGGGACGUAUCUUACACCUUCCUCAUCUACAAAAGGAUCCAGAACCACAUUAUUAUUGAGGAGUAAAACCGGGCUGGCACCCACAAGAACUCCAGAAGCAGAUCAGGCCCAGCACCGCUGACAGGGCCCCACUCAUGGUGGAUGGAGGAGCAGGUGCUGCCACGAUGGUGGUGGAAGUUGGUGGAGCAGCUGGAACAGCUCCUGGAAUGGCAGACAGUGCUGCUGCAGGCUGGGAGGUGGGACUGGCGGCCGCGAUGAUCGUCGGAAUGGCAGAGGGGGGCUGCUGGGAGGUUGGGGGCACUGUGAUAGUGGGCUGCUCACCACCCUGGUUACACACCGCCUCCAUAGACACAGGCACUGGGGUGGCCAUGGACACGUGGAUUUCAGGCUUUGGCUUGCCACUGCAGCACAAAUAAAAGCAAAGCAAAGUGA